CCUGCCAAAUGUUAAGUCAAUAAAACACCCGCCUGCCCUGCUCGAGGCCGAUGGAAACGGGUCGUGACACGCGGUGGGGCCAGGUGUCUCGCAGCGUCUUUCUUCCGUUUGCUUUUGAUUGUGGGUUGCAGUAUGUUCCCGGUGCGCCAGACCAGACGACGUGCCCACUGAUCACAAUGUUGGUCCACUUGGCCUUGUCCUCGCACCUUAUCUCUCGCAGUCUGAUAACAAGGAAAAUUAAAAAAAAAGAACAUCUACAUCACAAAACCUGAACCGUUUGUUAAAAUGAUGAUUGAACUAAUAAUUUUAAAUGGAUUAAAAGACGAAAGUCAGGUUAAUUUAUUGGAACGAAUGCUUGUAAUUAAUGUGCAAAUAUAGUCAUUCCCGCCCACUGCAA